AACACUGCAUCUGUGAAGAAAUGCUCUAAAUAUAACGACUGAAACUUGGUGAAAUGGGUGUGGCCCAGCUGAGGAACCCUCAGAGGUCCACCUGCACACUUGGGGAAAGGCAGUCCUGAUGAAUGGCUGGGCCAUCAAGGAGGGGACACAACUGUCACCAUGGACCUUGCUGUGAAAGGCAAACCUCUCCACUCAAGCAUAAAGCAGCCCUAAGGAGACCACGGACACUGCCGUAAGCAAGAAAGCCUUCGCCAUAUGCUGGCCCCUGGAUCUCGGACUCCCCAGCCUCCAGAAAUCAGACAAGCAACAAAAAGGAUUGGCAAAUGGAAUCAUCAUCCUGUCUAUGCUCAGACUUCUCACUCUGGAACAUACUGAACCUCAUAAAACAUUAAGGAGAAUGUUGAAAAAGGAAGCUAAGAAGGAUUUAAGGUUGCAGAGAUGAAAAAAAGAGAAAACUAUAUCCAGAUGAAAAUAAUCACACCAAUUUUGCAAUUCCUAUUAACGUCUGGAGGAACAGGUUAAAGGACAAACCUGGAAGAAUGCUGAUUUACAAAGAUGCACAGCCAAUUAUUCUGCAUAUUCCUAUGAUUUUACUAAUUACAGGACUUCACAA